GCGCUCGGAAUUCGUUUGCAAAGACGUUAGCAACCACCCCACAGCGACAUUUCCAGGACCCCGUCCCUAAGAACCAACUGUAUCGCACAGUCUUCGAGAAUGCCGAGCCGUGGACCCCAGAAGUGUCUUCCGCUUCCCGGAGACCCUCUUCCGUUGCCCCGCACCCACUUCCGCCUUCCGAUUGCCGCACCGGCCCGGGCCUGGCUCCGCCCCCUCCGGCCCUUCGGCUCGCGCGUGCCCUCUCCCGGGCCGGAAGCUCCGCCCCUUACGUGACGACCCCCUGCUCUCUCGGGUUUACACCGAGGAAUCUUUCCCUGUUCUGCUGUGAACCCGGGAAGAGAGGAAGGGUAGCCGGUAGUGUUUGUUUCUAAAUAAACCCUUUUUCAGUAUCAGCGUUAUCGAGGGGAGGAUGGGUAUUUUGUGAUUUUUCUAAGUGCAGUAUUCCGUAUAUGUCCUGAAUUUGAUGUGAUCUUUAUAAAGCCCAGGGAGCUAAAAAUUCUGGGCCAGUAUGAAUUUUGUGUGACUAAAAGCUCUGAAGACAGCUGAAAAGAAAGGUGGUUUGCAUCAGGAUUGGAAUCUUCUUGACGAGGGAACUGAGAUUAGAUUUUUGGGGAGCUGCUGUCAACCGUGAAUACAACUGGCCCUGAGGCCACCGUGAUGUGAGCAGCAAGCAGUCCACCAUACCAUCAAGCUGUGAAGUUUAUGCCUUGGACCCAACCAACCUGAGCAUGAAAACUAUGAAACUACGAGCCACAAGCCUUCAUCCUUUAUGGUGUUCGUGCCAAGUAUUUUGUUCCAGCAGCAGAAAGGGACUAAUAGAAUAUGUCCUGCCAAGAUGCUGGCAUCACCCAGUCUGCUGAGAAUCUGAAGAGAACAAAAAAGACGGAUCAGCCCCGCCCCUGUGCUUUCUGCCCACUGCCUGGACUAGAACACAUCUUUAAGAAACCUGUAAGAAAUGUUUGCGUGUUUACAGACCCUUCUUUCCCUUUCUGUGAGCCUUGUAUGUUCUUUUCCAAUUUCCUAAUUUUUUUAAAUUGACUUGAAAAAUAUUUUGUACUGGAAAAAGUAAAACGUUUAUCAAUUACAGUCAAUCACUAGCUAUUGUAACUAGCUCAAGUGAGCUAGGAGAGAGAGAUAUGGCUGAACUGUCUGUGUCAGAGCAGCUCAUUAAAGCAAUCAGCCAAAAAUUUGAG